UUAGUAGAUGAUGUGAGCCCGGUUAGUAGUGUGCCGCCUAUUGUUGAGCAUAAAGUUGAAGCUGAAGCCAAUGAGUAUCCCCUAUAUGAGUUCGGAGGUAGUGCACCGAUGAAAGAUGAUGGUGAUGACUCCGACGAAGAGUAUGAGAGGCAUCACAACAUUGUUGGUGACGUAGAGGCCGAAGUAAGGCAUCAGGACAUGGAUCCUGACAUUAUCUAUCAGCGUGCUUGUGUGAAUGACUCAGAUGAUGAAGGCCCGGUGAAUGAGUUGGACGAAGAUGGCUUGACUGAGAAAGAAGCAGAGUGGUACACAAAAUUCACCAGUAGGGAUCACAAAGUUCCCUUGUUUUGUGAUGUUAGCCUUGCAGAUAAGGCUAUAGUUGACGGUGGCAUGAGCAAGACAAUUGAGGCUAGACAGUUCCCAAGUAGUACACCCGACGCGAUUUCG
rnacentral:rRNA from 1 species